rnacentral:misc_RNA from 1 species
GAGCAAAUAGUGUAGUUAGAUUAGAAAACUUGAGAUCUUGAAGCUUUAAUCGAGUGUUUCAAGCUCGUUUUACCAUACCUCUCAGCUCAAGAUGGUAUGGUGAAAAUGAAGAACUAAUCGUUUCUUAGAAGUAAAGUUUGAUUAAAUGGAACACAAAGCAAAAAGCUUAGCAUGCCCGUGCAAUGAAUAACCCAGCCAUUAAGAAAGAAAAGAGAAAAACAAUGUAAAGCAAACAAAGAUACCCAGCUUUCUUUUCUCUUCUUCUGUGUUCUUUUGGAGAAAGAAGCUUUCAGGAUUAUUGAGGCAAAUCUUUGUCAGUAUGACCCAUAAACUAGAAAUUAAUGGGAAAUUAAAAAAAUGAAUUAAUAGGUGUAAUCCUCUAAAAUUGAAAUUGCACCUAGUUGCUUAUUCACACGGUCCUCACAGCUUGGAACCUUGGUUCCUUGGGAAGGAACUUCUGCUCUGCAUAAACAGACAUGUAAUCACCAAACACAAACUUGGGGUAUUCUUGACGAUUCAUCUCCUGGUUAGCUCUCUCCACCAGUUUUGGUGCAGGAGCUAUUGUAGCUUUGAGGGAUGGGUUAUAGAAUGAAGCAAUUGACCUUCUGUUCCCGUUAGGAGUGACCAGAACCCUGUGCCAGGUACUUUUGUACCUGCCAUUGCUUAGGACCUCAAUCUGAUCACCGGUGUUUAUGAUAAUAGUGUUUUUCAGUGGCUGGACAUCAAUCCAUUUUCCAUCCUUGAGGAUUUGAAGACCUCCCACCUCAUCAUCUUGGAAGAGUAAGAUGACACCUCCGGCAUCUGUGUGAGCUCUAAGGCCGUUCACCAGCUCUGGAUGAGGACAUGGUGGAUAGUGGCCAACCUUGGUACCAAAAAAGCAGUUGUCUCCUUCUCCGCCAUUGAAUGCCUUCUUGAUGUAUCCUUUGGGUAAGCCCAAAUUCUCAUCCAUUACUUCCAUGACCCUCUCAGCCAAUUUCUUCAGUUCACCUCUGUAUUCAGCCAUGGUUUCCCUGAAUCCAGGGGUUUCUGAUGGCCACUGGUUGUCAUCUAGGAGAAUGAAGACAUCUUCCCAGUCCGUAUUCUCCAAUUUCUCACCAUUUUUCUUCUCUGCCAAAUCCUUCAAUGAGUUCAUCGGUUUGGAGUUCUUGAAAUUUUCCUCCCUUUCCAGCUUGUAGCACUCUGAGCAAACCUUCUUCACCCUCUCCAGGAGCUCCUCUGGAAUUCCAUGGUUCACCAGCUGGAAGAACCCCCAUUCCUCGCACCCAUUAGCGAUCUGAGCCAUUAUCUUGGUUCUCUCCUCACCAGAACCGUUAACCUUAGAGAAAUCAAUCACUGGAAUUGCCAUUGUAGGAAAGGAAUACAAUUAAGAGAGAGAGAGAGAGAGA